UAUUAGUAGAAGCUUUAUAAUUAGCAACACCGCGAAAGGCUCAUUAGAAAUCCAUAGUUUAAACGGGAUAAAUUAAUAAUGGAUAACUCUGGUAAUUCUGGAGCUAAUACAAAAUUAAUAAAGAGUUAAUUUUAUAAUGAAAAAGAUUAACACGGAUACCUAAAAUUAGUUGGGGGUACACCGUAUAAAUAUAUAGCUUAUCAUACUAGUUGGUAACAUAGGGGGCUACCAAGGUAUUGACAGGUAACGGGGAAUUAGGGUUUGAUUCCGGAGAUGGAGCCUGAGAAAUAGCUGCAACUUCCAAGGAAGGCAGCAGGCGCGCAAAUUACCCAAUUUUAGCAUAGAGAGGUAGUGACAAUACGUGACACAUUAGUGUCAAACCCAAUAGUAGAUAAGUUGGGAAGAGAUUAGAGGGAAAGUCUGGUGCCAGCAGCCGCGGUAAUUCCAGCUCUAAUAGUGUAUGUUUUGAUUUGCUGCAGUUAAAACGCUCGUAGCCUACAGGUGUGAUAAUAAUUAGCACAAGGACCAUGAGCAAAACAAAGCGCUCAAGGCAGGGGUUUAGCCAGAAUGACAAGCAUGGGACCAUAGUAUACAACACACUGGUGGCGUUAGGACUAGAUGGGGAGGGGUGAAAUCCAUAGAUCCAUGUAAGACUAGCAGAGGCGAAGGCGGUCGUCACAGAGUGGUUGGUUGGCAAAGAGCAAAAGUUGAGGGAGCAAAAACGAUUAGAUACCGUUGUAGUCUCAACCGUAAGCGAUGCCGGCGCUUUGGUUGUUUUUAAUAAUAGGCAAAGAGGAGAAAUCUAUGAGCCAGGUUCUGGGGGGAGUAUGGUCACAAGACUGAAACUUGAAAGAAUUGACGGAAGGGCACCACCAGGAGUGGAGCGUGCGGUUUAAUUUGACUCAACACGGGGAAACUUACCAGUCCCGACACUUUGAGGAUUGACAGGCUAAAGGUCUUUCAGGAGAAGUGAGUAGUGGUGCAUGGCCGUUCUUUGUUGGUGGAGUUAUUUGUCUGGUUGAUUCCGAUAACGAGCGAGACGGGAGCCUUAAGUUAAAGUGUUUAAGGGACAGGUGUUGCAAAACACAGGAAGCCCCGCGAUAACAGGUCUGUGAUGCCCUUAGAUGGUCUGGGCGACACGCGCGCUACACUGCAUGCGGCAGCAAGUGUUUGCUUUUAGUAAAGUAAACAAACAUGAGGCGUAUGCGUGGUGAGGAUUGUCCAUUGGAAGAGGACAUGAAUGAGGAAUUCCUUGUAAGCAUGUGUCAGCAGCACGUGCUGAAUGCGUCCCUGCCCUUUGUACACACCGCCCGUCGCUACUACCGAUGGGUGGUCAAGCUAGAGUGCUGGAUAGCAAGGUAUAGCGAGCUUGGCCGCCUAGAGGAAGUACAAGUCGUAACAAGGUU
rnacentral:rRNA from 1 species